rnacentral:rRNA from 1 species
GAUCCUGGCUCAGAACGAACGCUGGCGGCGUGCUUACACAUGCAAGUCGGAUGCGAACGGCGCUUUCGGGCGUUGAGUAGCAUGGCAGACGGGUGAGGAGCGCGUAUCUGACUGGACUCAGGCUGGGGGAUAGUCCCUCGAAAGGGGGUUGAAUACCGCAUGUGCUCGGUGCUGUGAGGGCAUCGAGGAAAGUUGGCCUCUGCGGGCACGCUGAUGGCCUGAGACAGGGAUGCGUCCUAUUAGCUAGCUGGUGGGGUAAGGGCCUACCAGGGCGACGAUGGGUAGCUGGUCUGAGAGGAUGAUCAGCCACACUGGGACUGCGACACGGCCCAGACUCCUACGGGAGGCAGCAGUGGGGAAUUUUGCGCAAUGGGCGCAAGCCUGACGCAGCAACGCCGCGUGCAUGACGACGCCUUUCGAGGUGUAAAGUGCUGUCGACCGGGACGAAGGGGCGAGGGUGAACAGCUUUCGCGCAUGACGGUACCGGUGGAGGAAGCCCCGGCUAACUCCGUGCCAGCAGCCGCGGUAAGACGGAGGGGGCGAGCGUUGUUCGGAAUUACUGGGCGUAAAGCGCGCGUAGGCGGUGCAGCAAGUGGUGCGUGAAAGCCCUCGGCUUAACCGGGGACGGGCGUGCCAAACUGUUGGACUGGAGUGCCGGAGGGGGAGGCGGAAUUCCUGGUGGAGCGGUGAAAUGCGUAGAGAUCAGGAAGAACGUCGGUGGCGAAGGCGGCCUCCUGGACGGACACUGACGCUGAGGUGCGACAGCGUGGGGAGCGAACGGGAUUAGAUACCCCGGUAGUCCACGCCGUAAACGAUGGGUACUAGGUGUGGGGCUUGUGAUGAGGCCCGUGCCGGAGCUAACGCAAGUAAGUACCCCGNCUGGGGAGUACGGUCGCAAGGCUGAAACUCAGAGGAAUUGACGGGGGCCCGCACAAGCGGUGGAGCAUGUGGUUUAAUUCGACG